rnacentral:rRNA from 1 species
GACGAACGCUGGCGGCGUGCCUAAUACAUGCAAGUAGAACGCUGAAGAGAGGAGCUUGCUCUUCUUGGAUGAGUUGCGAACGGGUGAGUAACGCGUAGGUAACCUGCCUUGUAGCGGGGGAUAACUAUUGGAAACGAUAGCUAAUACCGCAUAACAAUGGAUGGCACAUGUCAUUUAUUUGAAAGGGGCAAUUGCUCCACUACAAGAUGGACCUGCGUUGUAUUAGCUAGUAGGUGAGGUAACGGCUCACCUAGGCGACGAUACAUAGCCGACCUGAGAGGGUGAUCGGCCACACUGGGACUGAGACACGGCCCAGACUCCUACGGGAGGCAGCAGUAGGGAAUCUUCGGCAAUGGGGGCAACCCUGACCGAGCAACGCCGCGUGAGUGAAGAAGGUUUUCGGAUCGUAAAGCUCUGUUGUAAGUCAAGAACGAGUGUGAGAGUGGAAAGUUCACACUGUGACGGUAGCUUACCAGAAAGGGACGGCUAACUACGUG